CGUAGGGGGCGAGCGUUGUCCGGAUUCAUUGGGCGUAAAGCGCGCGCAGGCGGCUCGGAAAGUCGGGUGUGAAAACCCGGGGCUCAACCCCGGGCCUGCAUCCGAUACUCCCGGGCUAGAGGCAGGUAGGGGAGAGCGGAAUUCCUGGUGUAGCGGUGAAAUGCGCAGAUAUCAGGAGGAACACCGGUGGCGAAGGCGGCUCUCUGGACCUGUCCUGACGCUCAGGCGCGAAAGCUAGGGGAGCGAACAGGAUUAGAUACCCUGGUAGUCCUAGCCGUAAACGAUGGGUGCUAGGUGUGGGGCCGGGAUCGACCGGUUCCGUGCCGUAGCUAACGCAUUAAGCACCCCGCCUGGGGAGUACGGCCGCAAGGCUA
rnacentral:rRNA from 1 species